GCCGGACGCACCGGGUAAGCGGCUGCGGGUGGGGACCGCUCCGUCGCGUCGGGACAGCGCCCGCCGAGCGCCGCCGUCGGGUGUCUUUUUUAUUAAGUGGAGCACCAGCAUAUGUACCACGCAUCCCGAUUUGCUGGUGGUGCUGCGGUGUCGGAGCAGAGGGAACAGAAGCAGCGGCAAACAAACGCCAUCGAUUAAUAUCUGUUUUUGCAUCGGUGUUGCCGAAUCCAUCAUUUCCACUGCUUGCUUAUCGUGUUUCUGAAACACUCAGAAUAUCCCAAAUAAGCCCGUGUGAUCCAGAAGGAACUUCUCUCUCGGGCUGGAGGUUGGUGCCACCAGGUUUGUGCUGCACUCACCCUAUGAUGCAUGUCCCACUUUACUCGUCUCCAUGAAUGGUUCAGCCUGGAUGUGAAAAUCAAUACAGACGUCCCUGAUGCCAAAAACCUAUUUGUCUAAAAGAUAUAAAAAGUGAAAUUGCAAUAAAGAUUUUUAUCGGGCUUUAUGGUGGAAUUCGUCAUUUAUAACUGGGAUGAUGAUGUUGGGUUAUAUAACGUGUUCGCUCUCAAAUUAGCUGAUGUGAGUAAAUAGAGGUAAUCUGGUAAAAUCUGGUGCCCAGGUUGAUCUCUGCAGAAAGCUACAGUUAAAGGAGGAGAAGAAAACAGUCACAUCAAUAUCACACCACUGAGCUGUCCCAGCAAAGCCCUGUGAUACGCACGAGGCGUUGGUAUCUAUUUUAGCUCUGGAAAAUCCUUGCUGCUUCUCUCCCUUCUGCUCUGCACUGAGUUGUUUCGGCAGCAAGGAGCAGUGGCAGCAUGAAAUAAUAUGUGAAUUUUAUGUGCUCUCUCUUCCUCAAAGCUGACUACCAGUGAGUGGCGAGGGGGGCACGAUACGGAGGUGGUGUUUUGAUGUGUGACUGCGAAGGGUGAGACGGCCAUUAUUAAGAGUGAUCGACUUCAGUGACUUUUAAACAAAGCUGUGAUUUAAUGUCUUAAAGCCCGAGAUGGCACAGACUUGUCGUUAGUUGGCGUGGUGGGCUGAGUGCCAUGCACUGGGCUUAUCUCGUGUGAGUAAAGCAUAGAAAUGUGUGGGGUAAGUGAUGGGGUCUUCGGCAGCACAAGGCUCUUGGCUUGCGUGGCCUUAUGGCAGAGGGGGGCUGUGCCAACGGGAGCACAUAAGGAUCUCACGUUACCUCCAACCUUCAAUUAUCGUGCUGAAUCUGGCCUAACCUGCUUAUCUCCUGAGAAUUACUCACUGGGUUUUGGCAGGAGGAGGUGUCAAUGAAAAUGAGACAGUUCUGGAGCCAGCAUCGCUGCCAGCAGCCAGGGCUUAAUUCUGGGCAGAGCUGGGGACAGUGUGUUCCUCUCCCUGCCAUGGCUCCAGCUGCUCCCAUCCCCAGCCCUCUCCACCAGGUGAGCUCUUCCCCAUCCCAUUCCCAUUCCUGUUCCUGGCUCCCAGCUCUAGUCUCCAUGUUGGAAGCCCAGUGGCUGGAGCUGUCUUCUUGACUAUGGAGAUGUAGCAGCAUCUGUCAGAAAAUCCAUGUGAAAGCAGCCCGGGUGCCAGCAAAUAGGAGCUGUAGCUUUCUAAGCAGCUACAUCUGAUUUGGUUUCAUACAUUUAACUUCACCUUUUUUUUCUCCCACUAUUGGCAAAUGUGUUAUUCUCGCACAGAACUGAGAACAACCUGCAUUUCCCAGGAUUGCUUUACGGAGUCUUGGUGCAGAGAAGUGCAUGUUGUGAUGACAUCUGACGUCAUCCAGUGGCAUUCAUUGUCCACACCAAGCGGGAAUGGAAAGUUUCACGCCCCCUUCCCCUCCUGCUCCCCAGCAUUAGCUCACCAUUGUGGCGGGGCUGGGCAAACCACUUUGCAUUGGCCUCCAUCCGGAGUCCGGGUCAUGGGGAAAUGCUAAUCCUUAACAAAAAGGAAAUGAUAAAAAUACCCAUGAAAUUAAUUUCCACACCUGCAGUCGAGAUUAAUAACAGCAACCGGAGUGGCAUCCCAUUUCAGUUCCCUGGAGGUGACUAACAGCCCUGGCCAUGAAUAUCAUACCAACCACCAGAGGAAUUCACUGUCUGAGGGAUCCACCGUGGAAAACAAUUGAUCCCCAGAGCUCCGCCUGCACAAUGGAAAAUGGCUUUAGUCAUGUAUUAGUCAUUUUAUCACAAGAUGGUAUUUCUGCACUGGGAGGUUUGCCCUCUGAGCCCAGCACAGAAGAACGGCGUUUGGCUUGGUUAAUUCAUGCCAGUUUCCCGUGUGCUUUAUUACUGUCUGUGCUUUGCAUCGGCCCCGCACGUCCCUGUGAGCGGCACUGGUAAUUCACCGAGAUGGAAGCGCGCUGUCACAGUGAGGAAUCAGGAUGCCAACAUCUUCGUAUCACCAAAAUUAAACAG